CCGAGNUCCCUGGAACGGGACGCCUUANAGGGUGAGAGCCCCGUACGNUUGGACGCCUAGCCUCUGUAAAGCUCCUUCAACGAGUCGAGUAGUUUGGNAAUGCUGCUCAAAAUGGGAGNNAAAUUUCUUCUAAAGCUAAAUACCGGCCAGAGNCCGAUAGCGCACAAGUGGAGUGAUCGAAAGAUGAAAAGCACUUUGAAAAGAGGNUUAAAUAGCACGUGAAAUUGUUGAAAGGNAAGCGUUUAUGACCNGACUUUUUCCUAGGGGAUCAUCCGGUGUUCUCACCGGUGCACUUCGCUAGGUUUAGGCCAGCNUCGGUUUCCGUAGGGGGAUAAAAGCUUUAGGAAUGNGGCUCUUCGNAGUGUUAUAGCCUAUUGUAUAAUACCNUUAUGGGGGACCGAGGUACGCGCUCU
rnacentral:rRNA from 1 species